AAAAUAGGUCUGUACAUUUUUGAGCACCCAAAGUGGUAAGAGACAUUCUUGAAAACAGCUUAAAAAUUUCUGUAGAUACCACCACAAAUAAUCCACACAAUACUUCAACAAGCAUUUAUUAAACGCCUACUAUGUGCUCAGCACUAUACUAGGCACUCGGGGGUGCAGAGAUACAAAUGUAAAAGUUAUUAUUCCUGCCCUCAAGGAGCUUACAAUUUAAUUUUGGAAAUAAAUACAAAUAUGAAACUGUAACACAGAGUGCUAGAAAAUAAUUACAAAGCAACAUAUUAGUAAGUACAUGGACCACAGUACAAACUCAAAAGAUAAGUGCUGAGGCAGCACAGAAUGAGGGAGGUCAUCGCAUGAGGUGAUGUCAAUCAGGGAGAGCUCAGUCAGAAGAUAUAAAGGAAGAAAGGCUUUGAAGGGAGUGAUGAACAUGAGCUGGGACCAAAGAGCAAUCUAAGCAAAAAGAAUAGCAUGAGAAAGGCACAGAGGCAAGAGCUUGUAAGACAUCAGUAGAAGGCUGUAGGAAGUUUGAAUCUGUUGAAUCAAGGUGAAUAUGCUAGAGAGUAAUGAAGGCUGAUGAAUAUUAGGCAUAGAGGUAAUGGAGAAUUUGGAACACCACUGCUCCAUAGGAAUUAUCUACUGGGUGUUACUUAGUGAAAAUGAAAUUUUACAAUAGAGAUAUUGUAAAAAUGGGUGUUUGAGGAGGAUCGUCUUUGAAAAAUUAUCUACUGGGUGUUACUGAAAAUGAAAAUUUUACAAUACGGAUAUUGUAAAAAUGGAGUUUGAGGAGGAGCACCUUAGAAACUUUAUACAAGAUGGGGAUCCUGGGAGCAAGGAAAUUGGAAAAAAAAGAAUUACAGUAACCUGGGCCUCAGAUCUACAUGAAAAGCUAUAAUGGGAUGAGAGAAAUGGGAGAUCAAGCCUCAAGGAGAAAACUGAUUAAAAACUGGACUGACAGCAAGUUUUUGGACAUGGAGAAUGGAGAGCAGAAAAAGAUAACUCCAAGGCUGGGGUAAAAAUAUAAAGGUGGUGACACUUUUCAGGGCAAAGGAAUUACGCAAUGAGGAUGAAAGCAUUUCACAUUUUAUGCUGUAGAUGAACUUACUAUUGUCAUCCUAACUGACCAUCUGCCUGGCCUGGUACAUGGAUAUUUCAUUUCCCUCCACAAUUCUACUUUCCCUUUGGCAGUUUGGAGAAAAAUAUAUUUGAAUUUAUUAUUGCUUUAUCCUCCCAAUUACUCUGUUAAAUAUGUUUUGUUUGCACAAUUUAGCUUUGUAGUACUACAAAGCAUCAACACUUAAAAAUGAUAUAAUUGUAACCCCAAAAAGCAUUUUCCACCAAUUUUCCAGUAAUUGUAAUGUAUUUGCACUCUACUGCACAUUCUUUUCCCCAGUACCUCUCAUGACAAGCGCUACAUAUUUUUAAAAAGCUGGUUAGAAUUACCAUGUUCAUUAUACACACCUUAGCACAGUAGUCAGAACAGGCUCUAGAAUCAAACUGUGUGGGUCAGAAUCAGUUUUAUCACAUACUGGCUGGGUGAUAUUGGUCAGCUCACUCAACUAAGCCUCCGUUUCCUCAUUUAUAAAAUGGGGGAUAAAAUAAUACCUAUUGAUAUGGUUUGGCUGUGUCCCAUCCAAAUCUCAUCUUGAAUUGUAGCUCCCACAAUUCCCACGUGUCGUGGGUGGGACCAAGUGGGAGGUAAUUGAAUCACGGGGGCAGAACUUUCCUGUGCUGUUCUUGUGAUAGUGAAUAAGUCUCACAAGAUCGGACGGUUUUAUAAAGAGUUCCCCUGCACAAGUUCUCUCUUUGCCUGCUGCCAUCCAUGUAUAAGACAUGAUUUGCUCCUCCUUGCCUUCCACCAUGAUUGUGAGGCGUCCCCAGCCAUGUGGAACUGAGUCCAUUAAACCUCUUUCCUUUAUAAAUUACCCAGUGUCAGGUAUGUCUUUAAUAGCAGCAUGAGAACAGACUAAUACAUUUAUCAUGAGCCUGAGAAAGGCAUAACAGGGUUGGGCACAUAGUAAGUGCUCAAUAAACGUCGGCUAUUAUUAUUUGGAGACUCAGAACCAAGAGUAAAGUUAACUGCUCUGUUUGGGAAUCAACCACCAUAUUCUAGCACUGCACCUUGCUCCAUGGAGAAAAUCUCUGAAACCUAACAUGCCUCUCCCAGGGCUAUGUUGGAUGGCAUUAGAGUUAUGAAAGAACCACCUUAUCAUGUCAGUUCCUAAAAUGAGAAGCUUAGGAUGGGAGGAGAAAGUACUGAUGAAUAGUUCAUUUCAGAUGAACAUAAAGAUAGAAUCUAUAGGAUAAAGGAGCUUAAUGAAUGCCAUUCACAGUUAAGAGCUCAAAAUGUCAUACAGCCUAGUCAAUAAUAUUCUAUGCUAAGAGUGUGAACUUGAGACAAAGAAUGAUUUCUAGUGAUGUCCUCAAAGAAUCCACAGCCUUUUUCUAUUGUCUUAUACCAUUUGGCUAAUUCUGUAUAUGUGCUGUAUCAGCUUUGAUAAUUCUUUCAAGACACAGUCUUUUCUCACACCCAAUAUAACACUAAUUUUUCUAGUCAUAUUAUUUUCUCCAAAUUUAUGCCACAUGCUUAGUAAUUCUGAGAUUUAAGUAAUCUGGCUACAUAUUACUCUUAAUACUGACACAUAAAGAGACUUUAGCUAGUACAUCUGUAUACAUUUCAAUGUGUUGCUCUGGUCUAUGGCCAUACCACCCUGAAUGCACCCAAUUUUGUUAAUAUGUUGCAUUGCUAAAAGGACUUU
rnacentral:lncRNA from 1 species